GAUGAAGAACGUAGCGAAAUGCGAUAAGUAGUGUGAAUUGCAGAAUUCAGUGAAUCAUCGAAUCUUUGAACGCACAUUGCGCCCCUUGGUAUUCCAUGGGGCAUGCCUGUUCGAGCGUCAUUUGUACUCUCAAGCUAAGCUUGGUGUUGGGUGUUUGUCCACUCCCUCGUGUUUGGACUCGCCUUAAAACAAUUGGCAGCCAGUGUUUUGGUAUUGAAGCGCAGCACAAUUUGCGAUUCUAGCCCAGAAUACUAGCAUCCAUCAAGUCAUUUUUAACGCUUGACCUCGGAUCAGGUAGGGAUACCCGCUGAACUUAAGCAUAUCAAUAAGCGGAGGA
rnacentral:misc_RNA from 1 species